rnacentral:rRNA from 1 species
UGCAGUCGACGGUACAGGCCCUUCGGGGUGCUGACGAGUGGCGGACGGGUGAGUAACGCGUAGGAAUUUGCCCAGUAGUGGGGGACAACUUGGGGAAACCCCAGCUUAAUCCCGCAUACCCCCUACGGGGGAAAGCGGGGGAUCUUCGGACCUCGCGCUAUUGGAUGAGCCUGCGUCGGAUUAGCUAGUUGGUAGGGUAAAGGCCUACCAAGGCGACGAUCCGUAGCUGGUUUGAGAGAACGAUCAGCCACACUGGGACUGAGACACGGCCCAGACUCCUACGGGAGGCAGCAGUGGGGAAUAUUGCACAAUGGGGGCAACCCUGAUGCAGCAAUGCCGCGUGUGUGAAGAAGGCCUGAGGGUUGUAAAGCACUUUCAAUAGAGACGAAAAGCUCAGGGUUAAUAGCUCUGGGUCUUGACUUAACCUAUAGAAGAAGCACCGGCUAACUCCGUGCCAGCAGCCGCGGUAAUACG